UACGUAGGGUGCGAGCGUUGUCCGGAAUUAUUGGGCGUAAAGAGCUCGUAGGCGGCCUGUCGCGUCGGAUGUGAAAGCCCGGGGCUUAACCCCGGGUCUGCAUUCGAUACGGGCAGGCGUAGAGUGUGGUAGGGGAGAUCGGAAUUCCUGGUGUAGCGGUGAAAUGCGCAGAUAUCAGGAGGAACACCGGUGGCGAAGGCGGAUCUCUGGGCCAUUACUGACGCUGAGGAGCGAAAGCGUGGGGAGCGAACAGG
rnacentral:rRNA from 1 species